rnacentral:misc_RNA from 1 species
GGAAGGAUCAUUACCGAGUGCGGGCCCUCUGGGUCCAACCUCCCACCCUUGUCUAUCGUACCUUGUUGCUUCGGCGGGCCCGCCAUUCGUGGCCGCCGGGGGGCAUCUGCCCCCGGGCCCGCGCCCGCCGGAGACACUAUACGAACACUGUCUGAAGGUUGCAGUCUGAGUCGAUUGUUAUAAUCGUUAAAACUUUCAACAACGGAUCUCUUGGUUCCGGCAUCGAUGAAGAACGCAGCGAAAUGCGAUAAUUAAUGUGAAUUGCAGAAUUCAGUGAAUCAUCGAGUCUUUGAACGCACAUUGCACCCCCUGGUAUUCCGGGGGGUAUGCCUGUCCGAGCGUCAUUGCUGCCCUCAAGCACGGCUUGUGUGUUGGGUCGCCGUCCCCCUCUCCGGGGGGACGGGCCCGAAAGGCAGCGGCGGCACCGCGUCCGGUCCUCGAGCGUAUGGGGCUUUGUCACCCGCUCUUGUAGGGCUGGCCGGCGCCUGCCGACCCCAACCUUUUUUUUUUUUUAACCAGGUUGACCUCGGAUCAGGUAGGGAUACCCGCUGAACUUAAGCAUAUCAAUAAGCGGAGGAAAAGAAACCAACCGGGAUUGCCUCAGUAACGGCGAGUGAAGCGGCAAGAGCUCAAAUUUGAAAGCUGGCUCCUUCGGGGUCCGCAUUGUAAUUUGCAGAGGAUGCUUCGGGUACAGCCCCCAUCUAAGUGCCCUGGAACGGGCCGUCAUAGAGGGUGAGAAUCCCGUAUGGGAUGGGGUGUCUGUGUCCGUGUGAAGCUCCUUCGACGAGUCGAGUUGUUUGGGAAUGCAGCUCUAAAUGGGUGGUAAAUUUCAUCUAAAGCUAAAUAUUGGCCGGAGACCGAUAGCGCACAAGUAGAGUGAUCGAAAGAUGAAAAGCACUUUGAAAAGAGAGUUAAAAAGCACGUGAAAUUGUUGAAAGGGAAGCGCUUGCGACCAGACUCGCCUGCGGGGUUCAGCUGGCCUUCGGGCCGGUGUACUUCCCCGUGGGCGGGCCAGCGUCGGUUUGGACGGCCGGUCAAAGGCCCCCGGAAUGUAGCGCCUCUCGGGGCGCCUUAUAGCCGGGGGUGUAAUGCGGCCUGUCUGGACCGAGGAACGCGCUUCGGCACGGACGCUGGCAUAAUGGUCGUAAGCGACCCGUCUUGAAACACGGACCAAGGAGUCUAACAUCUACGCGAGUGUUCGGGUGUCAAACCCGUGCGCGAAGUGAAAGCGAACGGAGGUGGGAGCCCCCUCGCGGGGCGCACCAUCGACCGAUCCUGAUGUCUUCGGAUGGAUUUGAGUAAGAGCGUAGCUGUGGGGACCCGAAAGAUGGUGAACUAUGCCUGAAUAGGGCGAAGCCAGAGGAAACUCUGGUGGAGGCUCGCAGCGGUUCUGACGUGCAAAUCGAUCGUCAAAUUUGGGUAUAGGGGCGAAAGACUAAUCGAACCAUCUAGUAGCUGGUUCCUGC